AGUGAACGCUGGCGGUAGGCCUAACACAUGCAAGUCGAACGGCAGCACAGUAAGAGCUUGCUCUUACGGUUGGCGAGUGGCGGACGGGUGAGGAAUACAUCGGAUUCUACUUUUUCGUGGGGGAUAUCGUAGGGAAACUUACGCUAAUACCGCAUACGACCUACGGGUGAAAGCAGUGGUGCUUCAGACCUUUCGCGAUUGAAUGAGCCGAUGUCGGAUUAGCUAGUUGGCGAGGUAAAGGCCCACCAAGGCGACGAUGCGUAGCUGGUCUGAGAGGAUGAUCAGCCACACUGGAACUGAGACACGGUCCAGACUCCUACGGGAGGCAGCAGUGGGGAAUAUUGCGCAAUGGGCGCAAGCCUGAUCGAGCAAUACCGCGUGAGUGAAGAAGGUCUUCGGGUUGUAAAGCCCUUUUGUUGGGAAAGAAAAGAAGCAGGUUAAUCCCCCGCUGUUCUGACGGUACCCAAAGAAUAAGCAACGGCUAACUUCGUG
rnacentral:rRNA from 1 species